CCUACGGGUGGCAGCAGUGAGGAAUAUUGGUCAAUGGACGAGAGCCUGAACCAGCCAAGUAGCGUGAAGGAUGACUGCCCUAUGGGUUGUAAACUUCUUUUAUAUGGGAAUAAAAUGUUCCACGUGUGGCUUUUUGUAUGUACCUUAUGAAUAAGGAUCGGCUAACUCCGUGCCAGCAGCCGCGGUAAUACGGAGGAUCCGAGCGUUAUCCGGAUUUAUUGGGUUUAAAGGGAGCGUAGGUGGAUUGUUAAGUCAGUUGUGAAAGUUUGCGGCUCAAACGUAAAAUUGCAGUUGAAACUGGCAGUCUUGAGUACAGUAGAGGUGUGCGGAAUGCGUGGUGUAGCGGUGAAAUGCUUAGAUAUCACGAAGAACUCCGAUUGCGAAGGCAGCUUACUGGACUGCAACUGACACUGAGGCUCGAAAGUGUGGGUAUCAAACAGGAUUAGAUACCCUAGUAGUC
rnacentral:rRNA from 1 species